AGUAUGGUGCAAUGGUAAGCACGCUGGUCUCAUGUGCCAGAGAUACAAGGUUCAAUUCCUGUUGC
rnacentral:tRNA from 1 species